ACGGGAGGCAGCAGUGGGGAAUAUUGGACAAUGGAGGCAACUCUGAUCCAGCGACGCCGCGUGAGUGAAGAAGUAUUUCGGUAUGUAAAGCUCUAUCAGCAGGGAAGAUAAUGACGGUACCUGACUAAGAAGCCCCGGCUAACUACGUGCCAGCAGCCGCGGUAAUACGUAGGGGGCAAGCGUUAUCCGGAUUUACUGGGUGUAAAGGGAGCGUAGGCGGCCAGACAAGUCAGAUGUGAAAGCCCGGGGCUCAACUCCGGUACUGCAUUUGAAACUGCCAGGCUUGAGUGCAGGAGAGGCAAGCGGAAUUCCUAGUGUAGCGGUGAAAUGCGUAGAUAUUAGGAAGAACACCGGUGGCGAAGGCGACUUGCUGGACUGUAACUGACACUGAAGUACGAAAGCGUGGGGAGCAAACAGGAUUAGAUACCCUGGUA
rnacentral:rRNA from 1 species